CACGUAGGCGGCUCGGCAAAUCAGUCGUGGAAUCCCGUCGCUUACCGGCGGAACGGCGGCUGAAAAUACCGGGCUCGAGGGCGUGAGGGGUCACUGGAACUCUUGGUGAAGCGGUGAAAUGCGUAGAUAUCAAGAGGAACGCCGGAGGCGAAAGCGAGUGACUGGCGCGUUCCUGACGCUGAGGUGCGAAAGCUAGGGGAGCAAACA
rnacentral:rRNA from 1 species